GCAUGGCUGUUUUGUGACCCAGCUGAUGCUCUUUGGCAGUGCAUUGCCCCAGGAACAGGCUGGCCAUGCCUGAGCACCUGGGGAGCUGCAUUGGGACAGAAAGCAUAGUGAAAUGAAACCAUAGCUGAAUUAGUGUGGCUGUGAAAGUGGACGUGGGCUUGGAUUCAUUUGCAAUACCUGAGCCCUGUAAGAUGCAAGGUAAGCUACAAUGAGGUUGUGAAAGCAAGGCGACAAAGCUGACCUAACCUAUGGUGCUGCUGGAGGGGGGAUGCCAAACCGUGUCCCUGUGCCGUCAGCAGGUCCCUUGUGAUACCUGCAGAGAUGUGCUGGUGAUGGGGUAUGUCUCCCCGGAGCCACCCGCUGUCCCCACACCCUGCCAGGGGCACUUGGAAGCCCUGCGAGUACCUGUCAGGGCCAGAGAGCGAGCAGAGCGAUUGCUUUGUGCACAUUAGCGUGGGUGACAACUUCUUAACCUUUCCUUUCUGCUUUGUUGCAGGCACCCUGUAGUCUGCCGAGCAAUUGUAACAGUGGUUGUGCAGGAACAGCAAAAAGAUGACAAAUUCGUUCCUCGAGUGCAGCUGGACACUGGACUGAGAAGCUUGAGAAAGGCAAAGCACUGGCAAGGUGGUCCUGGUGAUCAUACACUGAGCUGAAGAUCUGAAUUUACAUCCUUGUUAAUUCCUGGAGGGACUGUGACAGGCUGGGGGAGUGGACAGCAAGCCAUGAGUUUAACGUACACAAUAUUUAAGAUACAUUUGUUAUCAAACAACUGUAAAACUGAUUUUGUCCCUUUGUCCCAGCACAGGUUUUUCUCCACUUUGUAUUUGCUCCGUGGGAGAAGGGGAAUGGUGGGGGCUUGUUGAAGGGCUGUUGAUUAAACCACGAAAAUGUGAAUAUUGGCACCGAGGCUGGAAAAGAGCAGCGCGGUUGCCCACUCCCCUCUCAGUCCCUACAGGUUUGUUCUUCACCAGGGAUUAUUCUUGCCCUCGUCUGUCCUGUUUGAAAUGUCACAUUUCCUGCUGCAAUUGGAAAGAGCUUUUAUCCGUGGUGUGUGUGUGUGUGUCUGAGGGGGUGUUUUCAUCGCCGCUAGGUGAAUGUUUUAGUAAGCAAUGUCCGACACAUCACACGAAUGCUUGAAAAGAAGCAUUUUGCUGUUACUAAAGACUGUUAUUGCA